CCGCUCAAAUAUGGGUUCCUGCGGGGCGGUGGGCUCCGUGCGUGCGCGCUACCUUGUGUUCUUCCAGUACUUGGGCACAGACUUCAAUGGAGUUGCGGCCGUGAGAGGUAACCAUCGCGCUGUUGGGGUACAGAACUUUCUGGAGGUGAGCUGUUAUCUCUCGCCUAGAGCGAUGACCGGUUUGGGGAGGAAGAAGCGGUCGGCAACUCCAGUCCCUGCCCACACUCCUCGUACUAACGGGCUUUGGCCAUCGCUGUGGCAGCCUGCCUGUACGGUUCCUGCAGGAGGCUGCCAAGCGGCUGAACUCGGUCGAGCCGGUCAGGUUCACUAUCUCCAGCCGCACUGAUGCCGGAGUGCAUGCCCUGAGCAACGCGGCGCACCUGGACAUCCAGCGCCGCCCAGGCCGGCCGCCUUUUUCCCCAGAGAUCGUAACCAAGGCCCUCAACACCCACCUGAAGCACCCAGCCAUUCGGUGAGCCCGGGAAUUUUGUAUGGUUCUGGUUUUUGUCUUUUACUGUUUUACCCCACACCUCAAUAUGGUGGGAGGCAGAGAUUUUCAGAGCGCUACAUGGACAGGUGGGCAGACUUGUUCCAGGGAUGAGCCAGAUCUGUUUGCCACAGUGUACUGAAGGCCUUCCGAGUGCCCAAUGACUUCCAUGCUCGCCACGCAGCCACCUCCAGAACCUACCUAUACCGUCUGGCCACAGGCUGCUCCGGGCCUAAUCAACUGCCUGUGUUUGAACAAAAU
rnacentral:lncRNA from 1 species